UAGGGAAUCUUCCACAAUGGACGCAAGUCUGAUGGAGCAACGCCGCGUGAGUGAAGAAGGUUUUCGGAUCGUAAAGCUCUGUUGUUGGUGAAGAAGGAUAGAGGUAGUAACUGGCCUUUAUUUGACGGUAAUCAACCAGAAAGUCACGGCUAACUACGUGCCAGCAGCCGCGGUAAUACGUAGGUGGCAAGCGUUGUCCGGAUUUAUUGGGCGUAAAGCGAGCGCAGGCGGAAGAAUAAGUCUGAUGUGAAAGCCCUCGGCUUAACCGAGGAACUGCAUCGGAAGCUGUCUUUCUUGAGUGCAGAAGAGUAGAGUGGAAUUCCAUGUGUAGCGGUGGAAUGCGUAGAUAUAUGGAAGAACACCAGUGGCGAAGGCGACUCUCUGGUCUGCAACUGACGCUGAGGCUCGAAAGCAUGGGUAGCGAACAGG
rnacentral:rRNA from 1 species